rnacentral:misc_RNA from 1 species
UCCGGCUUGUCACCGGCAGUUUCUUCAGAGUGCCCAACUGAAUGUAGCAACUAAUGGCAAGGGUUGCGCUCGUUGCGGGACUUAACCCAACAUCUCACGACACGAGCUGACGACAGCCAUGCAGCACCUGUGUCCAGGUUCCCUUUCGGGCACACCCCCAUCUCUGGAGGCUUCCUGGCAUGUCAAGGGUAGGUAAGGUUCUUCGCGUUGCAUCGAAUUAAACCACAUGCUCCGCUGCUUGUGCGGGCCCCCGUCAAUUCCUUUGAGUUUCAGUCUUGCGACCGUACUCCCCAGGCGGAAUGCUUAAAGCGUUAGCGACGGCACCCGGGGACUAUAUAACCCCAGACACCAAGCAUUCAUCGUUUAAGGCUAGGACUAC